ACCUACGGGAGGCAGCAGUGGGGAAUAUUGCACAAUGGGCGAAAGCCUGAUCCAGCCAUGCCGCAUGAGUGAAGAAGGCCUUUGGGUUGUAAAGCUCUUUUAGUGAGGAAGAUAAUGACGGUACUCACAGAAGAAGUCCUGGCUAACUCCGUGCCAGCAGCCGCGGUAAUACAA
rnacentral:rRNA from 1 species